rnacentral:rRNA from 1 species
AUGCAGCACCGAGACCCCUCGCGUGAGUGCUGCAUCGGAGCGCUCCAUUGCAGCUCAGUAGCCGACGACGAGCGCUCCAUUGCAGCUCCUCCGAGGCCAAUGAGCGCUCCAUUGCAGCUCCUCCUCCGCCGGCGACGAGCUCUCCACUGCUGCUCCUCCGCUGGUGUCGAGCGCUCCAUUGCAGCCCUUCUGCCGCCAGUGACGACUGCUCCAUUGCAGCUAGCUACUCCACGGGAGCGAGUGCUCCAUUGCAGCUCCUCCGCCGCCGGCUACGAGCGCUCCAUUGCGGCUCCUCCGCGGACGUCGAGCGCUCCAUUGCAGAUCCUCCGCGGGAGACGAGUGCUCCAUUGCCGCUCCUCUGCCACCGUCGACGACCGCUCCAUUACAGCUCCUCCACCACCGGCGAGGAGCGCUCCAUUACGGCUCCUCCGCCGUCAUGUGAGUGCUUCAUGGAAGCACGAGGCUUCAUUGCAACGCGGUGCGACGGCCGUGGACAAGUUGUUCUGUCACAUCUCGUGGCCGUGGACACAUAGCUGCGUUGCAACACCCGCGUCCGUCGACGAGCGUCGUUUCGCAUCGACAGCAACUCACGAUCCUGCACUGCUGUGGUGGUAUUCGCCAUGGCUCCACUCCAUGGACGCUGCUUUGCAGCUACUUCACCUCUAG